CCUACGGGUGGCAGCAGUGGGGAAUAUUUCGCAAUGGGCGAAAGCCUGACGCUGCGACGCCGCGUGAGGGAUGGAGGUCUUCGGAUCGUAAAACUCUGUCAGCAGGGAAGAAAGGUCACUGUGCUAAUCAGCAGUGAAUAGACGGUACCUGCACAGGAAGCACCGGCUAACUCCGUGCCAGCAGCCGCGGUAAUACGGAGGGUUCGAGCGUUAAUCGGAAUUACUGGGCGUAAAGCGCUCGUAGGCGGUAUGUCAAGUCAAGGGUGAAAUCCCCGCGCUCAACGUGGGAACGGCCGUUGAAACUGGGAGACUGGAGUGUGUGAGAGGAUAGUGGAAUUCCAGGUGUAGGAGUGAAAUCCGUAGAUAUCGGGAGGAACAUCAGUGGCGAAGGCGACUAUCUGGCACAUAACUGACGCUGAGGAGCGAAAGCGUGGGGAGCAAACAGGAUUAGAUACCCCAGUAGUC
rnacentral:rRNA from 1 species